rnacentral:rRNA from 1 species
UACAGAGGGUGCGAGCGUUGUUCGGAAUUAUUGGGCGUAAGGGGCGCGUAGGCGGUGCGGUAAGUCACCUGUGAAAUCUCCUGGCUCAACUGGGAGCUUGCAGGCGAAACUGCCGUGCUGGAGUGUGGGAGAGGUGCGUGGAAUUCCUGGUGUAGCGGUGAAAUGCGUAGAUAUCGGGAGGAACACCUGUGGCGAAAGCGGCUCACUGGACCAUAACUGACGCUGAUGCACGAAAGCUGGGGGAGCAAACAGG